GGGGCGGGCACGCGAGUUACGCUGAACCGGUUGACAAUGCACCAGAUUCAUCGUUAUAUUGUGUUCAACUCUGAAGAGUUUCACAAUUUGCGGAUGAUGCACAAGGACGCGCUUAAGCGAUCAUGCACUAGGGCUCGCAUUACGGAGGCUCUUAUUGAAGCACAACAUCAUGAGCAGUUCUGCGAAUAAUACCGUGCAUAUGUCGAUGGUCUGGACGAUCAACGUAGAGAGGAAUUGGGCCACAACUUGAUUAUGCGUUAUAGAGGGCUAAAGGAGACAGCGGUCAAGUACAACAAGUACGUGGUAAAUGGGAAAUCGUUCCGCACGCUUGCCCAUGAUGUGGGAAGGAGGACGCAGAAU